GACGAACGCUGGCGGCGUGCCUAAUACAUGCGAGUCGAACGAGAGCGACCGGUGCUUGCCCUGGUCAAUCUAGUGGCGAACGGGUGAGUAACACGUGGGUAACCUGCCCAUCAGAGGGGGAUAACAUCCGGAAACGGAUGCUAAAACCGCAUAGGUCUUCGAGCCGCAUGGCUUGAAGAGGAAAAGAGGCGCAAGCUUCUGCUGAUGGAUGGACCCGCGGUGCAUUAGCUAGUUGGUGAGGUAACGGCUCACCAAGGCCGUGAUGCAUAGCCGACCUGAGAGGGUGAUAGGCCACAUUGGGACUGAGACACGGCCCAAACUCCUACGGGAGGCAGCAGUAGGGAAUCUUCCGCAAUGGACGCAAGUCUGACGGAGCAACGCCGCGUGAGUGAAGAAGGUUUUCGGAUCGUAAAACUCUGUUGUUAGAGAAGAACAAGUGCUAGAGUAACUGUUAGCGCCUUGACGGUAUCUAACCAGAAAGCCACGGCUAACUACGUG
rnacentral:rRNA from 1 species